rnacentral:sRNA from 1 species
GCGGAGGAAAAGAAACCAACAGGGAUUGCCUCAGUAACGGCGAGUGAAGCGGCAACAGCUCAAAUUUGAAAUCUGGUCCCCUCUGGGGGCCCGAGUUGUAAUUUGAAGAGGAUGCUUUUGGCGAGGCGCCUUCCGAGUGCCCUGGAACGGGACGCCACAGAGGGUGAGAGCCCCGUAUGGUAGGACGCCGAGCCUCUGUAAAGCUCCUUCGACGAGUCGAGUAGUUUGGGAAUGCUGCUCAAAAUGGGAGGUAAACCCCUUCUAAAGCUAAAUAUUGGCCAGAGACCGAUAGCGCACAAGUAGAGUGAUCGAAAGAUGAAAAGCACUUUGAAAAGAGAGUUAAACAGCACGUGAAAUUGUUGAAAGGGAAGCGCUUGCGACCAGACUUGCGCCCGUCGGAUCAACCGUCCCUCGUGGGCGGCGCACUCCGGCGGGCUCAGGCCAGCAUCAGUUUUCCUGGGGGUAGAAAGGCGGUGGGAAUGUAGCUCUUCGGAGUGUUAUAGCCCGCCGUGUAAUGCCCUCGGGGGGACUGAGGACCGCGCGUAUGCAAGGAUGCUGGCGUAAUGGUCGUCAGCGACCCGUCUUGAAACACGGACCAAGGAGUCGUCCUAAUAUGCGAGUGUACGGGUGUAAAACCCCUGCGCGUAAUGAAAGUGAACGGAGGUGAGAGCUUCGGCGCAUCAUCGACCGAUCCUGAUGUUCUCGGAUGGAUUUGAGUAAGAGCAUAUUGGGCCGGACCCGAAAGAAGGUGAACUAUGCCUGUAUAGGGUGAAGCCAGAGGAAACUCUGGUGGAGGCUCGCAGCGGUUCUGACGUGCAAAUCGAUCGUCAAAUAUGGGCAUGGGGGCGAAAGACUAAUCGAACCUUCUAGUAGCUGGUUUCCGCCGAU